ACUUGGGUGGCUCAGUUGGUUAAGCAUCUGACUUCAGCUCAGGUCAUGAUCUCACAGUUUGUGGGUUCGAGCCCCACAUCGGGCU
rnacentral:tRNA from 1 species